CGGAUCAGCAUGCCGCGGUGAAUACGUUCCCGGGCCUUGUACACACCGCCCGUCACACCAUGGGAGCCGGUAAUACCCGAAGUCAGUAGUCCAACCACGUGAGGACGCUGCCGAAGGUAGGAUUGGCGACUGGGGUGAAGUCGUAACAAGGUAAC
rnacentral:rRNA from 1 species